UACAGAGGGUGCGAGCGUUGUCCGGAAUCACUGGGCGUAAAGGGCGCGUAGGCGGUCUUUUAAGCGUGUGGUGAAAGCCCGGGGCUCAACCCCCGGGUCGGCCGUGCGAACUGGGAGGCUGGAGCAGAUCAGAGGCAGGCGGAAUUCCGGGUGUAGCGGUGGAAUGCGUAGAGAUCCGGAAGAACACCGGUGGCGAAGGCGGCCUGCUGGGAUCUGGCUGACGCUGAAGCGCGACAGCGUGGGGAGCAAACAGG
rnacentral:rRNA from 1 species